rnacentral:rRNA from 1 species
GAUGAACGCUGGCGGCGUGCUUAACACAUGCAAGUCGAACGAAGCACUUUAUUUGAUUUCCUUCGGGACUGAUUAUUUUGUGACUGAGUGGCGGACGGGUGAGUAACGCGUGGGUAACCUGCCUUGUACAGGGGGAUAACAGUUGGAAACGGCUGCUAAUACCGCAUAAGCGCACGGCAUCGCAUGAUGCAGUGUGAAAAACUCCGGUGGUAUAAGAUGGACCCGCGUUGGAUUAGCUAGUUGGUGAGGUAACGGCCCACCAAGGCGACGAUCCAUAGCCGACCUGAGAGGGUGACCGGCCACAUUGGGACUGAGACACGGCCUAAACUCCUACGGGAGGCAGCAGUGGGGAAUAUUGCACAAUGGGCGAAAGCCUGAUGCAGCGACGCCGCGUGAGCGAAGAAGUAUUUCGGUAUGUAAAGCUCUAUCAGCAGGGAAGAUAAUGACGGUACCUGACUAAGAAGCACCGGCUAAAUACGUG